AGGACGAACGCUGGCGGCGUGCUUAACACAUGCAAGUCGAGCGGUAAGGCCCUUCGGGGUACACGAGCGGCGAACGGGUGAGUAACACGUGGGUAACCUGCCCUGUACUCUGGGAUAAGCCUGGGAAACUAGGUCUAAUACCGGAUAUGACCUGACAUCGCAUGGUGUUGGGUGGAAAGUUCCGGCGGUACAGGGAUGGACCCGCGGCCUAUCAGCUUGUUGGUGGGGUAAUGGCCUACCAAGGCGACGACGGGUAGCCGGCCUGAGAGGGCGACCGGCCACACUGGGACUGAGACACGGCCCAGACUCCUACGGGAGGCAGCAGUGGGGAAUAUUGCACAAUGGGCGAAAGCCUGAUGCAGCGACGCCGCGUGAGGGAUGACGGCCUUCGGUUGUAAACCUCUUUCAGUAGGGACGAAGCGCAAGUGACGGUACCUACAGAAGAAGCACCGGCUAACUACGUGACCAGCAGCCGC
rnacentral:rRNA from 1 species